rnacentral:rRNA from 1 species
AUUGAACGCUGGCGGCAGGCCUAACACAUGCAAGUCGAGGGACCGGCGCACGGGUGAGUAACACGUAUCCAACCUGUCCUUUACUCGGGGCUAGCCUUUCGAAAGAAAGAUAAAUACCCGAUAUAAAGGACGGGGAUGCGUUCCAUUGGGUUGUUGGUGAGGUAUCAGCUAACCAAGCCUUCGAUGGAUAGGGGUUCUGAGAGGAAGGUCCCCCACAUUGGAACUGAGACACGGUCCAAACUCGUACGGGAGGCAGCAGUGAGUAAUAUUGGGCAAUGGGCGCUAGCCUGACCCAGCCAAGUAGCGUGAAGAAGGAAGGCUUAUGGGUCGUAAACUUCUUUUAUAUAAGAAUAUGUAUUAUAUGAAUAAGGAUCGGCUAACUCCGUGCCAGCAGCCGCGGUAAUUC